UCCCGAUCAGGGUCGCACCUGGAGAGUUUCCAAUACUCUAUCAGUAUCCACUACAGGAGGAAGAGUCAAGCAGAGGCCUAUCCAUUCCAUUCCUAGCUUGGGCAGUGGCUAGUGAGUGGAAGGAAAUCUGCUACAAGU